UACGGAGGGUGCAAACGUUGCUCGGAAUUAUUGGGCGUAAAGCGCACGUAGGCGGCCAAUUAAGUCGGGUGUGAAAGCCCAGGGCUCAACCCUGGAAGUGCACUCGAAACUGAUUGGCUUGAAUAUGGAAGAGGGUCGCGGAAUUCCCGGUGUAGAGGUGAAAUUCGUAGAUAUUGGGAAGAACACCGGUGGCGAAGGCGGCGACCUGGUCCUUGACUGACGCUGAGGCGCGAAAGCGUGGGGAGCAAACAGG
rnacentral:rRNA from 1 species